CCUACGGGAGGCAGCAGUGGGGAAUAUUGGGCAAUGGGCGCAAGCCUGACCCAGCAACGCCGCGUGAAGGAAGAAGGCUUUCGGGUUGUAAACUUCUUUUCUCAGGGACGAAGCAAGUGACGGUACCUGAGGAAUAAGCCACGGCUAACUACGUGCCAGCAGCCGCGGUAAUACGUAGGUGGCAAGCGUUAUCCGGAUUUACUGGGUGUAAAGGGCGUGUAGGCGGGAAAGCAAGUCAGAUGUGAAAACCAUGGGCUCAACCUGCGGACUGCAUUUGAAACUGUUUAUCUUGAGUAAUGGAGAGGCAGACGGAAUUCCUAGUGUAGCGGUGAAAUGCGUAGAGAUUAGGAGGAACACCAGUGGCGAAGGCGGUCUGCUGGACAGCAACUGACGCUGAGGCGCGAAAGCGUGGGGAGCAAACAGGAUUAGAUACCCUAGUAGUC
rnacentral:rRNA from 1 species